GCUGGCGUGGGUUUCUUCCCUUCUAAGCUUGGCCUAGAAACUCAUAUUUUAUUCAUGAAAAUUGAGGCCCUGGGAGGCCUUGGCAUAAACAGGAUGUAAAUAUUUGCGGGCAGUUGAAGGAGCAGUGAUAUCUGAGCAGGGGCUGUCCAAAGCUAGGGCACUGAGACAAUGCUUACUUUGUCACCCACCCACCUCCACCUCUGUUAAGGUUGAGGGUGGAGGACUGAGCCGGAGGGACUGGCCUACUGCUUUCAUUGUUGGGGUGCUCGGAGCUGGAGCUCAGGUCUAAAGUAGUCCACGCUGUUCUGGAACUCACAAUAUAGUCCUUCUACCUCCACAUCCCAAGUGCUGGAAUUACAGUAUUGGCCACCACGCCUCAGCUGAUUGCCACCUAACAGCCUGGCCAGGUAGAAUGGCUUUGAUUCUGAAUCCUGGCUGUUCCCAGUGUCAGCUGUGGGAACUCUUGCACAAAGUCCCCAAGGUCUCUCCCUGAACAGGCAGUAACGCCUACAGGAUCAUCAUGUCCACAUCUAUGUUCUGCGGCUAGCUUCACUCAGUUUGCCUUUCUGAGGUUAACUUGGCCUGGCUGGGAGCUUCCUGGGGAACACCAGUGGUCUGGGACAUGCAGAAGAGGCUCUCCCACGCUCUUAAUCCCAACACUCAGAGGCAGAGGCAGGUGGAUCUCUGUGAGUGCCAGGUCAGUCUGGUCUACAAAACAAGUUACAGGACAUCGAAGAGCUCUUACACAGAGAAACCCCAUCUUGGAAAAAAAAGAAAGAAAAAGACUUUUACUCUGCACCAUAUUUGAGUCACCUUUCCCUCAGUCUCCUUCAGAGACAUUCCUAGUCACAACUGUUAAGUAGGACACAAGGUGGCUUUGGGUUUUAUGUAUCAGCAUCUAAAAAGGACUCAACAGGGACAUCAUCCCAGAUGUCACUUUGAAAAGAAGUGGGAAAUGAUCAAAGAGGGCAAGUUCACGGUCUGAGCAUCCGGGUAUACAGGUCCUGAUAUACCAUCUACCCCACCACAGUACGCCAGGACGGUCACCCACAGCCACCCAUGGCCCAGGUUUCACGGGAAAUUGACCCUAUUUUUAGACAGGGUCUCAUGUAACCCAGGCUGGACCCCAAGUCCUGAUAAGCUUAGGAUGGCUUUGAACUUCUGAUGCCCCUGCUCCCCCCCGCCUCCUGAGUCCUGGAUUGCAGUGAACUCCAUGCCCUGUUUAUAAAGUUUAUAAGGCUUGAA